rnacentral:rRNA from 1 species
AGUUCGGAUUGUAGUCUGCAACCCGACUACAUGAAGCUGGAAUCGCUAGUAAUCGCGAAUCAGAAUGUCGCGGUGAAUACGUUCCCGGGUCUUGUACACACCGCCCGUCACACCAUGGGAGUCGGAAAUGCCCGAAGUCAGUGACCUAACCGAAAGGGAGGAGCUGCCGAAGGUGGAGCCGGUAACUGGGGUGAAGUCGUAACAAGGUAUC